rnacentral:rRNA from 1 species
UACGUAGGGGGCAAGCGUUGUCCGGAAUCAUUGGGCGUAAAGCGCGCGUAGGCGGCCCGGUAAGUCCGCUGUAAAAGUCCAGGGCUCAACCCUGGAAAGCCGGUGGAUACUGUCGGGCUAGAGUCCGGAAGAGGCGAGUGGAAUUCCUGGUGUAGCGGUGGAAUGCGCAGAUAUCAGGAGGAACACCGAUGGCGAAGGCAGCUCGCUGGGACGGUGACUGACGCUGAGGCGCGAAAGCGUGGGGAGCGAACAAG